GGGGAUGUAUCUCAGUUGAGGGCUUGCUUUUCAUGCAUAAGGCCAUAGGUUCAAUCCCUAACACCACCA
rnacentral:tRNA from 1 species